rnacentral:tRNA from 1 species
GGCUCUAUGGCUUAGUGGUAGAGUGCUUGCCUAGCAAGCAUGAAGCCCUGGGUUCAAUUCCUCAGUACCA